rnacentral:rRNA from 1 species
GACGAACGCUGGCGGCGUGCCUAAUACAUGCAAGUCGACCUUAGUGGCGAACGGGUGAGUAAAACGUGGGUCACCUGCCCAUCAGAAGGGGACAACACUUGGAAAUAGGUGCUAUUACCGCAUACUGAUGGAUGGACUCGCGGUGCAUUGGCUAGUUGGUGAGGUAACGGCUCACCAAGGCCACGAUGCAUAGGCGACCUGCGAGGGGGAUCGGCCACAUGGGGACUGAGACACGGCCCAAACUCCUACGGGAGGCAGCGGUAGGGAAUCUUCGGCAAUUGACGAAAGGCUGACCGAGCAACGCCGCGUGAGUGAAGAAGGUUUUCGGAUCGUAAGACUCUGUUGUUAGAGAAGCGGUAUCUAACCAGAAAGCCACGGCUAACUACGUGCCAGCAGCCGCGGUAAUUC